rnacentral:tRNA from 1 species
UUCAGGAGGACCUUCCCUAUCAGAUGCCGAAACAAAGUGGAUUAGGCGACGAUAAGGUCAUCCUAAGGUCGUUCGAGAUUGGAGAGACUAAUUGGCUUUCAAACUAACUAGGUAAGGGACCGUGGGCUAUUAGCUCAGGUGGUUAGAGCGCACCCCUGAUAAGGGUGAGGUCCCUGGUUCGAGUCCAGGAUGGCCCACCUGAAUCAAUUCAAAGUGAUGAAUUCAAAGUUCAAAAUUUUGAAGUAAUGAUGGGGGUUUAGCUCAGUUGGUAGAGCGCCUGCUUUGCAAGCAGGAUGUCAGCGGUUCGAGUCCGCUAACCUCCACUGAGGACAAUUCAGCACCUUAUUUAGUGACCUUACUAAAGAGCCUGCUGGAUUUAGGUCCAGUCAGAACCUUGAAAACUGCAUAGAAACUUGUCAGGUAGGUAGUCUUGGUUGAUUAGCCGCAAAGCUAGUCGACUCAAGAUGAAUAUCACAGACACCAAUGUAAUUGAUUUUAAGU